rnacentral:lncRNA from 1 species
AAAAGCUCUGUUAUUCGACUUUUGACGAUGCGAAUUUAAGCAUGGAUGCAAUUUGGGUACCCCUCCUUUCAGAAUUAUUGAUGGUUUGGAGGUUAGUUCAGACCAAUUUUUCUAUGAUUCCAUAUGGAUUGAAAAUCAAAUUGGUGUACCUAAAUAAUAAAGAAGGACACGGCUACAAAAUAAACACAAAAUGGAAAAUUUUGUCUUAAUCAUAAAAAAAC